GACAGAUAGCUCAGUGGGUAGAGCAUGAGGCUCUUAAUCUCAGGGUCUUGGGUUUGAGCCCCACAUUGGGCA
rnacentral:tRNA from 1 species